UGAGGAAUCUUGCGCAAUGGGGGAAACCCUGACGCAGCAACGCCGCGUGAGUGAGGAAGGCCUUCGGGUCGUAAAGCUCUGUCAGAUGGGAAGAAAUGGGUGGGGGCUAAUAUCGUCCACCCUUGACGGUACCAUCAGAGGAAGCACCGGCUAACUCCGUGCCAGCAGCCGCGGUAAUACGGGGGGUGCAAGCGUUGUUCGGAAUCAUUGGGCGUAAAGCGCGCGCAGGCGGCUUGGUCAGUCAGAUGUGAAAGCCCUGGGCUUAACCCAGGAAGUGUAUUUGAUACUGCCUCGCUAGAGUACGGGAGAGGAAAGUGGAAUUCCUGGUGUAGAGGUAAAAUUCGUAGAUAUCAGGAGGAACACCGGUGGCGAAGGCGACUUUCUGGCCCGAUACUGACGCGCAGGCGCGAAAGCGUGGGGAGCAAACA
rnacentral:rRNA from 1 species